GGGAAGGUGGCUCAAUGGUAGAGUGCUUGCCUUGCAUGUAUGAGGCUCUAGGUUCAAUUCCUCAGCAUCACA
rfam:Dipodomys ordii contig_56064, whole genome shotgun sequence.